rnacentral:SRP_RNA from 1 species
GCCGGGCACGGUGGCACGUGCCUGUAGUCCCAGCUACUCGGGAGGCUGAGGCUGGAGGGUCUCUUGAGCCCAGGAGUUCUGGGCUGCAGUGCACUAUGCCGAUCGGGUGUCCACACUAAGUCUGACAUCAAUAUGGUGACCUCCCAGGGGCGGGGAACCACCAGGUUGCCUAAGGAGGGGUGAACCGGCCCAGGUCGGAAACGGAGCAGGUCAAAACUCCCGUGCUGAUCAGUAGUGGGAUCGCGCCUGUGAAUAGCCACUGCACUCCAGCCUGGGCAACAUAGCGAGACCCCAUCUCU